rnacentral:ncRNA from 2 species
AUAAUAAUCCAGGGGUGCCUAACUUUUAAGGCUGAGAUCACACCCUUUAAACCUGAUCGGGGUAAUGCCUGCGUAGGGAAGAAGCGAAAUAUCUCA